rnacentral:rRNA from 1 species
UACAGAGGUCUCAAGCGUUGUUCGGAUUUAUUGGGCGUAAAGGGCGCGUAGGCGGCGGGGUAAGUCGGGUGUGAAAUCUCAGGGCUCAACCCUGAAACUGCACUUGAUACUGCUCUGCUUGAGGACUGGAGAGGAGACUGGAAUUCACGGUGUAGCAGUGAAAUGCGUAGAUAUCGUGAGGAAGACCAGUGGCGGAAGGCGGUGGUCUGGGCCGUAACUGACGCUGAGGAG